rnacentral:lncRNA from 1 species
CAAAUCUACUUCUAAAACUCUAGAAAUGCACUACAAGACACCAAACAAGGGAUUUUUAAAAUGACAUUUUGAAAAUUUGAAAAUUCUAUCAAACGUAUUGCAUCUAGUCAUUUUUAAGUCCCCAUCUCAUUGUUGUAAAGAACUCCUAACAAAUUUAGCUUAAGUUCCAUGGACUUUUAAGGUCCCUCAUCCAAACAUAGGGUAAACACUACCUGUGGAUGAUGGUCUUCAAAGUUCCACGAAACCUAGGCUACACCUUUCAGAAAUGCACUACAAAAAAGGAGGUAGAAGGGCUUCCUAAUGACUUGAUGCAAAACAUAUUGAUAGAACUUUUCAAAUGACACCUUGAAAGUCUUUUGUUGCGUGUAUUUAAGCUGCACUUGUAGUGUUAUAGUGGUAACUUUGUAGUGCUUUAGUAGUUCAUCAGUAGUGUUCUUGUAGUGCAUUUUUAACAAUUAAAUCUAAAGUUUGUCCCUCAUUCAAACAUAGAACAACACACCCGUCACAACUCUAAGUUUUAUACAAAAACACUUCAAAAGCUCAAUUGAAGGGGAAAAAAAAACCUCGUCUAUCCACUUGUCAUGCUCAGUCCCUACUUAUUUACACAGUCAAAAUCAAUAAAAUUAACAUAAUGAACCAUCGUUGAAUGCCAUCGUCACUAAAGCGCAGCAUAACAUAUGUCAAAUCUACUGCUUUCCUGGUAAAACCAACAUCUUUAUGGCCACAAAACUUAAAGGAGGAAACCAAUCAACAAAGUUCAAAAGCUAAAAGGUUUUCGCUUUGCCAAUGGCACAAACCCAGAUCAUCCCCACUUCACUCUCAAAAUCUUUACUUCAAAAAAUCUUCAUUUUGCCCUAAAAUUGGAUGAUUCUACUCCCUCAAACACCCCACCAGACAGUUCCUACUAACUUAACCUAGGCCCAUUCAAGUCUAAUAAUAAUUAGCAGAUCCAAACUUUCAAAAAGCAAAGUUCAAAAAAUCAAACAAAAACUACAAAAUACAAUUGAAAAAUUGCAAGAAAAAAGAACUUGGAAUUGGGCAAAGAAACAUACCAUAGUUUGCCAGUAGCUCAGGAGUCCGACAUGCAAGUCGAAGCGCCUCAAUUUUCAGAGAAAUUGACUGCAAUGCGAUGGUUUUUGGGGAAAUUCAGAGCGAGAAUGUGAGGGGAAUUAGGGUUCGGAAGGAGCCAUCUUUCUCUCAGUCAAACAAUGAAUCCAAAUUAGUCAGGAAUUCUUUUUUUUUAUUUUUUAUUUUUUGUCAGCAAAUUGUCACUCAGAACAACUCGAGGAUAUAGGUUUGAACUCAAGACACUUGCCCAUUGAGUUCCUAAUUACUGUUUUAGAAGGAGAGGGUAGCUUGUGUCAAAACUGCUUCCGCAAGAAGCAAUGGGGAGCUUUCAAUGGAACUUUUGAAAGGCCUAAAUUACCCCCUAUGUAAUAUACAAAUUACAAAACUUACCCUAACUUGACUCUCUUCGGCGUCUUGGGAGCAAGCUAGAUUUUGCUCUGUGUUUCUCUCCUGGCGUCAAGUUGUUGCUGCCAAAGCUCUCUGCUUCCAAUGGCCGCCAACAAUCCGUCCCAGCUACUCCCAUCAGGUUUGCCCACUCUUUUCCUCUUAUUCUACUUUCGGUAUUUUCUCGAGAAAAUUAAUCGGAAAAUGAGAGGUUUUUUCCCGAAAAAUACGCAGAGUUGAUCGACCGGUGCAUGGGGUCGAAGAUAUGGGUGAUAAUGAAGGGAGACAAAGAGCUCGUAGGUACUCUGAGGGGUUUCGGUGUUUACGUCAACAUGGUCCUCGAAGACGUCACUGAAUAGUAUGAUUCACUCACUCAGUUCUUGUUGCAUAAUGUAGCCCAAAACCCUAGCAUUUGGGGGUUUUUUUACUCGGUUUCUCGACAAGUGUGAAUCCUUAUUCCUGUGAAUGCUUCAACUUUUAGAUUUAUUAAUGGGAAACUUAUACAAAGAACAAUACAGUUGGAAGUUAAUCAAACAGAAAUGUCUUUAUUAGUAUUUCAGUUAGAAAAUUGAUCGGGGAAAACAGUUUGUUGGAGAAGUCCGAAUCGAGCUCUUACAAGUAAUAGUCUGUACAAUUCAUCCAACCUCUGUAAUCUCUUAUUAUGAUGUCGAUUCUCUGGGAUCAUCCAGGAGGGGGUAUGUCAGCUUUCCGGAGCCAUCCUCGGUGUCGAAAGAAUCGUUCAUCGCUAUGAAAUCCGAUACCAGGUUUGAUCCUAUGGUUGCUGACAUCAAUGGUUACCACAUUGGUAUUGAUGUGAACACGGUUGUGUAUGUUGCUUGUGUUGAUGUUGUUUUAAGAGGAAUUGAUUUGACAAGUGGGAGGGAGAUUACUGCUUGAUUGAGUACAGAGAUGCUGUCAAGAUGAUUCGGGUUUGGGGUCAGAUACUCGUCAGCUAGGCCUCCAACGCCUCUUCUUGUUGCUCAAAUUGACCUGUCCAACCAGUUCAAGGAGUUUAUGCGUGUCGGUUUCUCUGCCUCAAAUGGGCAGGGCUCUUAAAGUUCUGACAAGUUUGUCUCUUGCGGAUAUAAGAUCAGCUACAAUGGGGUUUAACCGAAACAGGGUAUUGGGGAAGGAGCAUCAGCUAAGAUUUAUAAAGGAUCUCUGCACUCUUGUUGGAGAAGUGGCAAUAAAAAGGUUUGAGAGGGCUGAUGGGAUUGGUAGUCUGCAUCAUCCUUUUACCACGGAGUUUGCAACUAUGGUGGGUUGUUUGCGGCAGAAGAAUCUGAUUCAGCUUCAUGGGUGGUGCUGUGAGCGUAAUGAGUUAGUCCUGGUGUACGAGUACAUUGCCCAACGGAAGCCUCAACAAAUGCCUUUGAGGAAGGGGACUGCUUCAUGUGCUUGUCACCAGAAGAUUCAAGUACCAAAAGCAGCCCUGAAAAUCGCUCCCAUGAAAGAAAAACAAAGAUAGUGGAGAUGGCUCUUGGGUUGGGAGGUUUAGCUGCAUAUGUUGUCUUCAUACUCGCAUUUGUUUUUGUCAUUUGCUUUGCGUGUGUGAAGCAGAGAAAGGUCACUGCCAACCGACACAGGGUUGUCGGGGAAGGGGCAUCAGCUAAGGUUUAUAAAGGGUCUUUGCCCUGAGGGAGAAGUGGCAGUGAAAAGGUUUGAGAGGGCUGAUGGGAUCUGUAGUCUGCGUAAUCCUUUUACCACAGAGUUUGCAUUUAUGGUGGGUUGUUUGCGGCAGAAGAAUCUGGUUCAGCUUCAUGGGUGGUGCUGUGAGGGUAAUGAGUUAGUCCUGGUGUACGAGUACAUUGCCCAACGGAAGCCUCAACAAAGUUCUCCACAAAAGCUUCAAUUCAGCAGUUGUCCUAUCCUGGAAGCAAAGACUUGAUAUAGUUCUCGGAGUCGCUUUUCCUCUUGCAUAUCUUCACGAGGAGUGUGAGAGGCAAAUAAUUCACAGAGAUGUUAAAACUUGCAACAUAAUGCUCGAUGCAGAUUUUAACGCCAAACUAGGGGAUUUUGGUCUAGCAGAAGAUUGAGCACAGUUCCAUCAUUGCAAGAGAAGCAACUAUACCAGCUGGAACAAUGGGAUAUCUUGCUCCGGAAUACGUUUAUUCAGGUGUUCCAACAGUAAAAACUGAUGUUUACAGCUUUGGUGUGGUGGUGUUAGAGGUAGCAAUGGGAAGAAAGCUGGUGGAGGAUGAUGGAACAGUGGUUUCUGAUUGGGUUUGAAGCAUGUGGGAAAAGGGAAAACUGAUUGAAGCUGCUGAUCUGAGGUUGAUGGGGAAGUUUGAUAUGGUAGAAAUGGCGAGGAUGCUGAUGACUGGGCUUGCUUGUGUGCACCCAAACCAUGUGAAGAGGGCAACGGUGAAGGAAGCUGCAACCAAGAAAACCAAGGGUAAGCCUUCGCCCCGUUUUCCUGAUGACCGUGAAGAAAUCCCGUUUUACUGUGGUGUUCGGCCAAGUCUCGAACUUGAUGAUGUACAAUAUUUGACUCCGAAGAGCCACUUGUAAGAAUAACUUACAUACAUAAUUAUCAACUAACACAUAGAAUCACAAUUAACCAGAGUCAAUACUAUCACACAAAAAUAGACACACAUCUGAGGAUGAAGAAGACAUGAUGCUUGAAAUAAAGAUAGUCUUCUACUGUCAUAAAACUGGAUGCUUUUGCUUUCAAUAGGACUCAGCACUCUAUCAAGCUUGUAUUUGGAGAGCAGGGACAAACCUUUUUAUAGUCACAUAAGACCUAUUGAUAUUCACCUAUUAGGAAAACAAUAGGUCUCUCAAUAAUUCAUCAUUAACUGCAAUAAGUCCACUACAUUAUUGUUUUGAAUGAUUCAUAUAACCUACUGUUACAAAACUCUAUUAACUUAAUCAAUACAGUUCUAUCAAAAUAAUGAUUAUGUCUACUCAAAUUCUUACAUUCUUCCACUUGAGUAUACAUAAUCACAUAGUAUUGAACUGUAUGAAAUUAAGUUAACAGUGAUCACUGAGUUUAUAUAACAAGAUUAUCAACUUAAACGUAGAUGUAAUCAACUAAAUCAAACCCAGAACUAUAGAAAUGUUGAUGCAUAUCAGCUGCAUCAUUACUCUAUAAUCACCGAAGCUUAACUCAACUAAUUACAAAGCUACAUGCCAAAUAAUGUAGUAUUGGAAGUGUCAUAUCUUAAUACUCCCACAUAAUUGGUCCAGACUUCAAGUUUACUAAAAAAAACUGGUUUAUUGCAGUAUCAACAAAUAUAGCUCUUUACAGAAUGAGCAAACAUUGAAUCACAACAUGAAAGGUUCACAAAAGAACUCAACAACGUUGGUAACGAAAUCCAACUUUUCUGUCAAUUUAGAAAUUAAUAAGAGAACAAGUAAAAUACGAUAUACUGUUUACAAAAUCAGGACCUCUUAUUACAACUUAUGAACAAAAUUUAAACCAAAUUUACUCUUAAAGUAUCAGCUACUAAGACUUCAAAUUUUCAACACAAAAUGUAAUCUCUUACUCCCACUAAUUAACACAGACAAAACUAUAUAUAAAUAAAUUAUUAUUAUUCCCACUGAUUAAGAGAGUAAAACAAAACUUUGUAAAUGUCUACAAAAUGAAACAGAUACCUUUCAAAUAAUCCCAUUAGCAAAACAUUAGUCAUGGGAUCUAAAACAUAAAAUUUGUGAGCUCAACAUCUUUAUUCUAGAUAUUUGUAGGGAAUAGACUCUUGUGACUGAAAAACUAUACAAAAUCAUUUGGUCAGUUUUGUUCAUCUAACAAUUGACAGAAAUAGAAAACAUUAACUAAAUGUUUUCUAUUGCAUCAAAAGCAUAUAAUUCUAGAAUCAUCUUUGGACAGAAACUUAUUAUAUUAGGUUUGCAUAGCUAAAACAUAAAAUACAAGGGCAAACGUAUAGAACUUUAACACUUUUGAGCAGAUGAAGUAUAUACCAUCUUGUCAAUUCCAUGAUUCACUAUGACCAUUAAAAGCAUACAAAAUUGAUGAGUGUGAAGCCCAUAAUAUAUUAUUUCUCCCACUUGGGCAUGCUUCACUAUGACCAUUAAAAGCAUACAAAAUUGAUGAGUGUGAAGCCCAUAAUACAUUUCUCCCACUAGGGCAAACACUCAAAAUUACAAGAUUAAACACUAGAGAAAGUGGUUUUCAUAUAACAAAAUAUAGUCUAGUUGAAUAAAUAAAGAUAGUAUACACAAUCCAUUAUAUAACAUAACAUGGCAAAUUUUUUACGAAGUUUGGAGUUAGAAAAAUCUAUCAAAAUUGUAAUCAAAUAGGACACGUUGCAAGGUAUGCAAAACUCCAUCAGCAUUUCCCAAGCUCUACCAAAAUUUCAGAUUUAAUCAUAAUUUAAAUAAAAUCAAUUUACAAUGUUUAAUAUGCUCAAAACACAAAAAUUUCUUAAAUAAAUUAGAGGUUCAUUUCAUUAGAUAAAUAACCUUUAAUAUGCCCAAAACUGUAAAAUUUCUUAAACAAAUUUGUUGAGUCACAAAAUAGUUGGUUUGGACAUAAUAAACCAAUCUAUAUGUAUCAAAAUUAGGCUUAUCUAAGGAACAAUAUCUCAACAUCAUUAAUCGAUAAAGGUGACAAGUGAUUAGAUAAACCAAUGGCUACUUUAAUCCAAUUUAGAACUCAUAGAAAAUUAAGGCAAAAGAUUGGCAAAUUUUCCUACUCAUUUUCGAUUCUGCAAGAUUCAUCAUGAAAGUAGUCGAGUUGUGGAGGAUCGAACCAACUCCAAAUUGCAUGAUUGUUACACCUUUAGGCAGAAACUAAUCAUGCAAAGCAAAUACUUGCAUAGUUAGUCAAAACAUAAAAUACACAAAAUACAUAUAGCUUCAACAGCUUUGGCCAGAUGAACAUAUGUUAAAAAAAAAUAUUUUACGAUUAGCUAUAAUACUAAUUUAUAAUUGGUGAGUGAUUUCCUGAAAUUCCUAUUGGGACAAAAGUAUUCACCAUAUAAAUUAGAAUUCUGAUUUUUCAAAAUAAUCUUUUACAACAAUAUUAAAUAACCGUUUUGUUGGAUAUUUAAUGAUUCUCAAAAGAUUCAAUCAGACAUAAAAGUAUGUCAUUGUUGACAUUGAACAAUAGAGUUAUCGAAAGAGGAAACAUGGUUAUUCAGUUAUUCGAUAGGGACCAAAAUGAUCAAUUAGUAAACUGAUGCCACUUUCCAAUUUUCUCUCAAAAGACAAUUAUCAUCAUAAUCAAAAUUGAUAACCAAACAAAACAUUGGUUUAAGCAAAACAAACCAAUACAUCUUUAAAUCAAAAUUUAAUCAAUGUUGUCUAAUAAGAGUCAUUAGUAUUAAGAAUUUGCAUUAAACAAGGCCAUAUUGGAACCAUAAACUAGUAUAAUAAUCGGUACCAAUAGAUGUGCACAAUAAGUGAAAACAAUAUCACAUAACAAAACUAGUUUUGAAGCACCAAAAUUCAGCAGUACUACUUCAGUUUGCAAAUUCACUAAAAAACUCAAUUCUCUUUAGAUUGUCAUGAAAAUUUUCAAGUAUGAACUAGACAUAUAUGACUACUAUUUUGCAAAAUUUCAUGAUUUUUAAAAUCUUAUAAGUGAGCCAAAAAUGAAUUCGGAAAGAGAGGUGCUGCAAAAACAGCAGAAAAUGGUAAGUACAUACCUAAGAUUACAAAUUCAUCAAAUAUUCAUUGUUCAUCCGAUAUGCAUCAGAAUUUUUUUCAGACAUAAAGUAAACAUAAAAACCUGUUAUUUCCCAAAAUUUCAUAAUUUUUGAGAUUUUACAAGUGUACUAAAAACAAAUUCGAAAUAAGUUGUGCUGCUGAAACAACAGAAAUUCUGCAAAACAUACCCGAGACUAAAUAAUUCACCAAACUUCAAUCUUCCUCCAAUGUGCACGAAAAUUUUCAGAAAUGAAGUAAGCAUAUAAAUUUACUGUCCCCAAAAAUUCCAUAAUUUGUUCGAUUUUACAAGUGGGCUAAAAAUAAAAUCGAAAUGGAAUGUGCUGCAGAAACUGCAUUAAUUCUGCAGUAUAGUCUCGAGAUUAAAAAUUCACUAAUAGUUCAUUUUCAAACCAAUGCUCGUGAAAAUUUCCAAAUUUGAAAUAAAUAUCUCAAUGUAUAUCAUACUAAAAUUCAUUGAAUUUAUCAAUUACAUAAAUAUAUCAAAAUAAUAUUACAAACACACUAUUCUGCAGAAGUCUGAAGAAUUCCAGCAACAUGGUAUCACACUUAAAAAUUUACCACAAAUCCAUUUCUUGUCCAAAAGACAUGAAAAUUUUGCAUGUAUAGAAUUCAUUAUAUACUUGAUACACAAAAUGCAAAUAGGUAACAAAAAUUCAUUCUUUUGGUGAUUCGACAAACAAGGUCUCCCUUUUCAUCAUAAAAGAAAAGGAUUUAGUCAUACAGACAACUUCGCUUAAAGUCUACAUCAGCAAAAUGUCCAAAUUUGGUAACCAUAUCAAAUUUCAAUGCAAAAGCCAAAAUUAUGGACCGAACUACAAUAUUUAAUCAUGCAAUCAAUAACCCGAUGUAGUUAAAAUAUAAGUUACUAUAGGCAGAAAAUCUAAACACUACCACUUCAAUUCUUCUCUUUAAUACAAGGGUAAUAGAUUCAUGAAAAAUAAUAGAAUAAGAGUGAGCGGAAGCAUGAAAAUCCCAGAAAAACAUAACAAUAGGAUUAUUUUAUAACGAUAAGAAAAUUUGAGAGGAUCCAUGUAUACACAAAAAUGAGGGAAAACAAGAAGACAAACCUCACAAACUCAUAACAAAAUUCCAUAUUAAUCCAUAGAAGGAUUUAUAUAUAAGUGUUUGAAAAUAAUCGAUAUCAUGUAAUUUAUUCAAAAGCAUGAUUCAAUUAAAUCAUACCCAUGUUUCCUAAUGGCGAGUGAUUCUCGCCGAAAGACUCCAAAAAUGACCAAAAUUUUAAACUUGACCAUUGACAACGUGAGUAGUGAUUGAAGAACGGCUUGCCCGUGACCAGUGUGUGAGAGAAAAAUUUGAAACACCAUGAGAAGCCAUAGUAAUUAUUAUUGUAAAUAGGAAUCCAAAAUUUCUAACAACAGUAAUGUUAAACCAGAAAACGAUUAACAACAUGUUUCGCUGGUUGAAGAAACAAAAGCUUAUAUCAAUAGUAACACCUUUGGGCAGAGACUGAGGAUAUAAUCAAAAGUUGCAUAACCAAAACAGAGAACACUUAAACAUAUAUAAAAUUCAACACCUUUGUGGUAGAUGAAAAAUAUACAAUCUAAAUAUUCCAUGCUUCAUUAUACACUGAUUCAUAGUUGGGCUAGACAAAUAAUUCCUUUGUGGAAAAAUGAAUCUAUCGAAUAACAUACAAACCACAAGUUGAAUUUCUAAGCAAUCUAAUAAGAAUACAAAUAAAUAAUCCACUUUGGUAGACAAUCUCAUUGUUUCUUAAAAGAUUAAAUCCAAGUCCAGGUUGUUGUCCUAAGAGACAAAAUUCAUCAUAAGCAAAAUUGAUGAAUUACAUAAUUGUUGAUUCAAACAAAAUAAUCAACAUGUUUCUUGUAUUUAAUAGAAUAAAACCAUACAAAAUCUCUAAUUUUAUAAUUUUCUUCAAUUAAAUGAUAAGAACUUGUUACUUCAAAUUAUUCCAGGAGAAAAAAAAAUAUUUCAUCCCAGAAUCAUCAAUAAACCAAGAAAAAUUAAAGUUAAUUGAAUUUGGGAAACAAAAGAAGUAUAUAUGCAAACAAUUGAGAAGUCGUAGCGUACCUUAUAUGAUUUAUUUUUGAGAAAUUGAGAAAAGAAAUCCAUAGUAUAAACAUGAUCAUGAUGCGGAAGCAAGAAAAACAGAAAGCCCAGGACAAGGAACGAAAAAACGAUGACGGAAGAAGACAGAUUUCUACCUUCCAUAGCAUAAAGUUUUCGAAUAGACUAAAAAGCUUAGGAUAAAAACCAAAACGUCAGUCUUUAAACCAAAAGCAUGCCGUUUUUAUGUGGUGGUGCGUUGAAGCUCUGAUACCACAUGUAAGAAUAACUUACAUACAUAAUUAUCAACUAACACAUAGAAUCAUUAUUAACCAGAGUCAAUAUAACUUACAUACAUAAUUAUUCAUGUAAGAAUAACUUACAUACAUAAUUAUCAACUAACACAUAGAAUCACAAUUAACCAGAGUCAAUACUAUCACACAAAAAUAGACACACAUCUGAGGAUGAAGAAGACAUGAUGCUUGAAAUAAAGAUAGUCUUCUACUGUCAUAAAACUGGAUGCUUUUGCUUUCAAUAGGACUCAGCACUCUAUCAAGCUUGUAUUUGGAGAGCAGGGACAAACCUUUUUAUAGUCACAUAAGACCUAUUGAUAUUCACCUAUUAGGAAAACAAUAGGUCUCUCAAUAAUUCAUCAUUAACUGCAAUAAGUCCACUACAUUAUUGUUUUGAAUGAUUCAUAUAACCUACUGUUACAAAACUCUAUUAACUUAAUCAAUACAGUUCUAUCAAAAUAAUGAUUAUGUCUACUCAAAUUCUUACACCACUUUGGCAAGGAUUAGUUGCUCGUAACAGAUCAAGUAACCUCAUAAUUAGAAGGAUUUCAGUGCAAUUUGUAAUAGAGAAACUAGGAGCUUGUUGUUGACUGGGAAACUUGAGGAACCCCUCAGGUGCUUCAGUUAAUUUGCAGAUUUUGUAGUCUGAAAUGUGUUUGAUGUCUUAUGGUAAUGAAAUGCUCAGUGUUUCCUUGUCUGUUUUAUCAUGAUUGACAUGGUCUCAAGCAUUUUGUUAUUAGCUGGCGGACUUAAUUAUUCAAAUGAUGUUCGGAAGAUUAAGUUUCGUGUUUCAUCCAAAUAUUCCUUUUGAAUUUUGUACCUGGUACAGCAGCUAGAUAGGAUUGGCAUGUUCUCAAAUUCACUGACUAGAUGUAUACUGAUAGGUUUGUCUGGUUUUUGCGGAAGGGCCCUUUGGAAACUGAACAGAAAAAGUAUUGCUGUUUCAGGACUGCACAACCAGUUUCCAUUAGUUAAAGAAACAAACUGAAACAAGUCAAUUCUUCCUUUCUAUAAAAAUUUGAAAUUCAAGUCCCUGGUAUUAACAUUAAAGGUGUUUUCAGAAAAUGAACCUCAAGAUUAGCAAUGACAUCAGGCAAGAUAAAUCACAUUGGUGAUCAGAAACUUGUGGUUCAUUCUUGUACAAGGAAGAAACAUAGAGGCCAACUGAACGGCGCGAGGAUAGUACUCGUACUUUAAGUCCGGCUCCUCCAAUUCUUCCCAAGCUUAUGAUGGGGACUGGUUUUACAGUGAACUGAAAUGAAAUUCAGAAAUGAAAAACUCUUUGUUAGUGUCAGAUGUCUCUGUUAGAUUUCUGUAUUAUAAUAUUUUAGAUUUUGUAAGGAAGAAGAAUUUGGAAUUGGAUUUGUUAUUGGCACAUUACAAGCUCACUAUCAAAUACUUAAUCAAUCUUCUUAGGGAAUUGUUAUUGGAACUCUAAAAAUCUCAUUUUACACUCUAAAUUUUCUAAAAGAAAAAUACACUUGUGAGUAGUGUAAAAUGAGAUUUUUUUAGUGCUAAUAACAGUUCCCUCUUCUUAAUGCAAUCAGCAAAAGUGUUUAUACAUCAACAUUCUUAUCCACUUUCCUUUCAAUAAAUAUGGCCAUCUUAAUAUAUAUAGCUUGUGGGAUUUGAGUCCAUUGACUAAAAUAUUUUUAAAGACAAUUAAGCUGAUGGGAUAAACCGACAGUGACUUACCUACAUUUAUUAUAAGAUGGUGACUAACAAUGCCUUUUGCAGAUUUGUUUUGUGUCUUUAAAGCCAGCACUUCUAGGUCCACUUAGAGUUGCCUCGUCACGAUAUUCACAUGUUCGUUCCAGGAUUUUGUGGUUGGUUGAGUUCUUCCAAAUCUUGCUUGUACAGCAAACGAGCCCCACACUUCUUCACAUAUUGCAAGUAUGCUUCUUCCAUUCUAUGACCAUAAGAGUAAGUGCCGAAGAAAAAGUUUUCACCACGACAAUCUCGACGAAGCAAAUAGAAUACCCAAAAGUGUUCUGACUCGAGAGACCUUAUUUCUUUGGUCAAAAUCUUAGUAUCAGCUAAACACUUAAUUUCGAAAUAAUUAUAAUGACGCUUAAGAUCUUGAAAAACAACACAAAAGGUAAUCCCCAGCCAGUUGGUACAUGAUGGUGGAGGAAGCUCCACAUCUAUUGAAUGUCCCGCACUCUGAUUACUGAACCACUCUGGAAUUUCACUUCCAGGGCAUACCAUACCUCUCAAAAAAUUUGAGAUUCCCUGUGGCUGAAGAAAGAUCAAUUAUUUAGAGAGAGAGAGAGAAGAGAGGGAGAGAGGGAGAGGGAGAGAGAGAGUACCUCUUGAUCAGUGGCAAAUUUUAGAAUCCUUGAGAGUAUCCAGCCUUCAUCUUGAACCAAUGCAAUGCAAUUCAGGCAAGUGAAAUUAAAAUCAUACAAAUUGGCAAAUCUGCUGUUCAACUUGGAUGGAUCUGACAAACUUCGCAAGGAAGUACAAUUGUCUACAUCUACAUGUAAUUUGCUAUUAGAUGGAAGAGGUGGCAAUUUUUGAAGGCUUUUGCACCUUUCCAGAUCAAGAUACGAAAGCUUAGAAAGGCAUCUAAUGCUUUCAGGUAGACUGACGAAAUUAUUUCCACUAAGAUCCAAUCUUUCCAGAAAGGACAAGCAGCCAAUAUCAUCGGGGAUAUCUCCUUCACGGAGUUUACAAUCUUUUAGAGAUAACUCUGUUAACUCUGUCAAAGAGCAUAAACUAUUUAGAGAAGACAACACCAAAUCCAAACAAGGAGGAUCAGGACGACUCUUUCCAAGUCCUAGUAAGCGGAGAAGGCCCCACCCCUCCCUUGCUUUAGCAUCCGAUCCGUUACAUAAGUUAUCCAUGUCUCUUGGGAGUUUGUCAAUUUUUGAGCAUCCUUGCAUUCGGAGUCUUCUAAGAGACUUCAAAUUACAAAUAGUCGUCGGAAGGUUCAAGAGAUAUGAGCAACCAACUAGACACAACUCCUGGAGGCCAACCAAAUGUCCAAUUGAUGAAGCUAUUUUCUCUAUCAGAGUCGCACUUAAGUCAAUCGAGGACACAUUCUUCAUCUGCUCCCCAAAUUCUGGAAUCUUUUUCACAUCUGAGUUGCUAAGACUUAAAGAUUCCAGAGAAUCCAUUUUAAGCUCACUUGGGAGGCUCUCAAGUUUUAAGUAGCAUUCAAAAUUCAAGUUCAAGUUUUUUAAGAUGUGCAAUAGACGGGUGUAUCUCAACUAAAUUGAAACAACCUCGAAGAUUCAACUUCACAAGAUUUGGAACACCACUGAAAUCCGGGUACUCUUCAAUUUACCUGAGUUUCUAAGAUCGAUCCAUCUCAAGUUGGGCAAGUCCUGUACAACAUCGAUAAGAUUCAGAUCAUAUAAAUAAAUAAAUAAAUGAUUAUUUUGUAUAUUAAAUAGCAUUUAUUCAAGGAUGAAUAAUAAUUAUGUACUCACUAGUGAGUACUCUAUAUGCUCAUUUUUGUUUUGGUUCUUGUUCUUUAUUUUUAAAGCCCAAGAAAAAUUAAAUAGCAUGUCCAUUAUUUUUGAAAAUAAUAAAAUAUACUUGUCCAAAAAGUGAGUACUGAUUAGUCACUACCCAAGUGGUAUCAUUUUAUUCAACACUACUCUCAUCACUUUUUUUUUUUUUUAAUGGUAAAAAUACUACUCUUACCACUUUUCCCUCCCAUAACCGAACAAGACUGCUUCCAUACAUGUGAAGUUCAGUAAGGUGGCGCAUGGGAAAGUUGGUUGGAAGAAAAUUAGAAGGAUAUUGAAACCAGUAUAUAUAUCUCAAUGAACACGGAAGAAAUUUAGGGCCUGAAGAAAAGAAAACUUGAUCGAUUGUCAAAAUCCUCAAUCUAUCCAUCUUAGAGAAGGCUUCCCAAUUCCACUCGCGUUUCACAUAUGUUAUAGGCAUGUGUAAUGAUAUGACUUCAAUUGCACUCAAACCCUGACAAUUAAGAAAAAAAGACAAAUUAAUUUCACAUUCAAGUAUAUUAGUGUCAAAAGUUCAUUCAAACUUGGUAUUUUACUUCUUACCAUAUUGGUCGCCAUAUUGGUCGUGAAUACAUGAGAAAUGUCAUCGUUAAGCCACAACCUACUGCGUAGACCAGACUCUUUAGACCUGUGACCAAUAAUUGUCCAUGCCAUUUCUUCUAUCAAAUCAUGCAUCCGUAUGCAUUUUUGGUGAUCUUGAUAGAGGAGAAAUCUCUCAAUUAGUACAUCUAUCACAAUAUGGCUAGAGAUUCCAAAAGAAUUAGAACUAUCUAGACUUUCAAUUACUUGCUUCCUGUAAUACCCUUUGUAGAAACAUGCAACAUCGAGAAAAUGCUCUUCUCCCACUCUUCUAGUGCAUCAUAACUUACUUUAAGUUUAUCAAAAAUAGCUGGAUUAGGAAUUUUUGAUAGAUUAUCCCGUACACUAUGCCAAGCAUCUAGCCCUCUCUUAAACAAAGCCGACCCCAAAGUUUCAAGAGCUAAUGGAAGGCCUCCAGCAUGAUUGUCAUAACAUUCAUCAUAAUUAUCAAUCACAUUAUUAAAAAGAUAGUUAAACACACACACACACACACACACACAUAUAUAUAUAUAUAUAUCACAAUCUUCAUCAGUGCACGAGCCAAAUCCUAUUUAAUAAGCAUAUGAUGGCUAUAUAUAUAUAAAUCACAUUUCAAUAAAAAUCAUAUUUAUAAGACUAAUUCAUAUUCACAAUUGAUACCAAAUAAGAAAUUCAGAUAAUAAACAUAUCUCAUAUAUUCAAGUCACUAUCUAACUAACAUAGGUCCACUGGUCACGCACCGUCGCAUGAGCCGCUGCGGGUGGCGGUUGACUGCCCCGACUCACCGGAAAAAUUCAACUAUCUUUAAAAAUUACCAAAAAUUACAUAAAUGAAGAUCUCAAGGAGUAGAGCAAACUUUAUACCUGUGGCCAAGUCUAAUUUGGCCGGGAAGGCCCUCAAAUUGGCUCGCACCCGUCGAAACCCUAAAGUGGGUGUUCUUCAAUUUGGCUCCCUUGGUGUUCCAACGCCCCAACCACCAAUUGGGUCUUGUUCUUGGGUCCAAGGGAAGUUGAUUAAGGGUGAUGGUGAAUGGUGAUACUCACCAGAAUGACGAAUCGCCGUCAAGAACCCCCGGUUUUUCGGUGGAGUUCUACUCGAAUUAGACCUUAAAAACCCUUGAUUUUUGGUGGAGAUGGAAGGAGGAAGGUAGCUGAGUAGGUUGCAGGUGAUGAAUGGGUGCAAAACGCCUAAAAAAUGAAGGAUUUUGGCCUGACAUUGGCUGGAUCGAAACCAUUUUUUUCAUGGGUGCUUGGGUUUACAAAUUUGGGGGGGGGGGGGGGGGAGGGGCAUCCUUUCGCUCAUUUUCUUUUCUUCUCUUGCCACUCCCGUGGCUUUCUUUUUUUUUUUUUUUUUUUUUUUAAAGCAACACAACUUCAUACGUCCGUAACUAUACUGUUAUAAUCCGGACUCGCAAACGGUUUUCGCCUAUGCGUUCAUGACUUCAAGACCUAUUCGAAAACGUUACUUGUGACCUCGAAAAGUCAACGAGUAAAUAAUAAUUUUCCAAACUUCGCUCUUCAUAACUAGUUUAAUUGAAAUCUAAUUUCAAAUAAAUUAAUAUAAAUUCUCGAAAAAAUAAUAUAAAUCUCAAUAAUACAAAUACGUAGAUUAUAACAGUAAAAUCCAAGAAUGGGAUUUCACGUCUUUACCGUUAGAGACACCGUUAUAUCUUGGAGAUCUACCAAGCAAACGCUAGUUGUGACUUUGUCGAACUAUGCUGAGAUUUUCGCCCUGCAUGAAGCAUCGCGUGAGUGCUUUUGGUUGAGAGAAGUCAUGGGACAUAUUUGAAGCAUUAGUGGUCUUACAUCAGUCGUUGACCCUCCUACGACGAUCUUUGAAGACAAUGCAACAUGUAUCGAGCAGUUAAAGAAGGGAUACAUCAAGGGAGACAACACCAAGCACAUAACGUCGAAGUUCUUUUACUCACACCAACAGCAGCAGCAGCAUCAAAACAUUGAAGUCAAGCAAAUCCGUUCCCAGGAGGAUAACUUGGUCAAUCUCUUCACCAAGUCAUUGCCCAAGUUUACUUUUCAAAAGCUUGUCCAAGGAAUCAUUAUGCGUAAAUUAUCUGAGUUAAAUCGCAUGUAGUUCUCUUAUUUAGAAGUUAUGGCUAGCUCAGGGGGAGUAUCUAGAAGCAUACUUACAUGAUCUUAAUGUACUCUUUUUCCUACGAUUAGGAGCAUUUUUUUCCACUGGGUCUUUGCUACCUAACGAGGUUUUAACGAGGCACCCAUCCUGGGAUGAUCAUACUCCGUUGAGUUCACUACUUUCGUCCUGUUUGACAUUUGUUUUAGAUAUUAUGCAUACUUCUCACCUUUCUCCUUAAUCUAUGGGUUUUCCUCGUGCCUUGGGUAUUACCAUAGUUAGGUUUUGUGAGUUUUACUACAAAUGCAUACUUCCUUAAACUUGAGACUCGCGAUCACCCGUUGUGCCAAUGACUUCAUCAACAAUUCUACCUUAUCGCUGAAUAUCUAAUGCGAUGUUUGUUGAGUAUUUACACACUCAAGGGGGAGUGUUGCAGUCAUAUUUAGAAUAAGAAUGUGAUUGUGUAAAUCCUUAUAGUUAUGGGAAUGUAUCUUAUAUUCCUAUUAAUUAUGAGUUUAUUAUCUAUUAAAUGUUGUAAUCAUAAAAGGAAAGGUUUACCUAUUCUACUACUAUAAAUAAAGGCACAAUGAGGUAAAUUAAACACACCUCACAAUUAAAUCACUCUCUCUUCUCCCUCACUACCUCCGGCCCAUCUCUCUUUCUAAACCCUAAGAUCGUUCAAUCAAAUAGGCCUACAACAAAAACUAGUUUCUUGAGCUUUCAAAAUUUGUAUUUUGAGCUUUAAUUUUAGUUUCUAAUCAACACCAUGACACAAGCCAUAAAGUAACAAAACCAAUAAAAUGUCAACUGAAAACGUUAUAUGUGAAAAAGAACAAUGAAUUACAUGAAAUGAAAACGUCAAAGUAGGCAUGUAGUCAACCUAUGUUGUCACGCCACAAAUUAAAGUACAAUGCGAGCUGGUGACAAAUUUGAGCCACACCGCGGUAAUUCAUGCAAUGUAAAUCUCUCUCAAAGAAGCAACAAGAAAAUCCUCAUGCAAGAGUUCUCCACUUUCUUACUCGUUCAAGAGGAAAGCUGAAAGGACAAGUAUUUUCCAAAAAAAAAAAAAAAAAAGGUGGAAGACAGACUAUGGAAAUUUUCCAGGAAGCAAGAGUUUAGAGUAAGUUCUCAACUUUCUUCUGAGAAAAGAUAUUCAUGUCUCUUUUUCUUUUCUCUUCAGUGAUGCUAAAGCCAACUAGUUAUCUUAUUUCUACAGCCACUUUCCAAUACUUGUUCCAAAGAUUUUCCACAAAAAAAAGUAGAAGACUGACUACAAGGAAAAUAUUUAUGUCACCCACCAUGAAAUUUGUAUAUAGGUUUUUUUCACACAUCUGUUCAUUAGGUCCACUAACAAUGUUGAAGUCAUUGUGGAAUAUGCUGAGAUUUCCCCUGUCAUUUAGACAAACCUUCUCAUGGUUACACCCUACCCCCAGCAAUUGGCAAUAUCAAAUCUGAUAAAACUAGUCAAACAAAUGACAAGCCUUCAAUGCAAGCUGCAAUGUAAGAGUUGAGUUGAAAUGAUCCAUACAUCAAAUAAAAUGAUCAUUCAUAAGAAUCAUGAAACCUAGGCUAAGUUCCAUGGGCUCUUAAGGUCCCUCAUCAAAACAUAGAAUAACCACUGCAUUUGGAUGAUGGUAUUUAAAGUUCCAUGAAAACAAGGCUACACCUUCAGAAACGCACUACAAAAAAAUAGAUAGAGGGGCUUCAAAAUGACUAGAUGCA